rnacentral:rRNA from 1 species
AGUCGUAACAAGGUUUCCGUAGGUGAACCUGCGGAAGGAUCAUUAUUGAAUACGAUUGGUACUGAUGCUGGCCCUUCACUGGGCAUGUGCUCGUCCAUCUAUUUAUCUUCUCUUGUGCACAUCUUGUAGUCUUGGAUGAACCCUUGCGCAUUCGUGCGGUCUGGGAGUUGCGAAUUAAACCUUGCUUCUCCUGCUUGUCCAAGGCUAUGUUUUCAUAUACACCAUAAAGUUACAGAAUGUCAAUUAACGACUUGUGCUUGUCACGGUCAUUAAACCUAUACAACUUUCAGCAACGGAUCUCUUGGCUCUCCUAUCGAUGAAGAACGCAGCGAAAUGCGAUAAGUAAUGUGAAUUGCAGAAUUCAGUGAAUCAUCGAAUCUUUGAACGCACCUUGCGCCCUUUGGUAUUCCGAAGGGCAUGCCUGUUUGAGUGUCAUUAAAUUAUCAACCUUGCUCGCUUUUACCGGCUUGAGUUAGGCUUGGAUGUGAGGGUCUUUGCUGGCUUCCUUCAGUGGAUGGUCUGNUCCCUUUAAAUGCAUUAGUGGGAUCUCUUGUGGACCGUCACUUGGUGUGAUAAUUAUCUAUGCCAUCUUGACUUUGAAGCAAACUAAUGGGAACCUGCUCAUAACCGUCCUUUCGAGGACAACUCUUGACAUUUNGACCUCAAAUCAGGUAGGACUACCCGCUGAACUUAAGCAUAUCAAUAAGNGGNGGAAAAGAAACUNNCAAGGAUUCCCCUAGUAACUGCGAGUGAAGCGGGAAAAGCUCAAAUUUAAANUCUGGCGGUCCCUGUGNCCGUCCGAGUUGUAAUUUAGAGAAGUGUUAUCCGUGCUGGACCGUGUACAAGUCUCCUGGAAUGGAGCGUCAUAGAGGGUGAGAAUCCCGUCUUUGACACGGACUGCCAGUGCAUUGUGAUGCGCUCUCAAAGAGUCGAGUUGUUUGGGAAUGCAGCUCAAAAUGGGUGGUAAAUUCCAUCUAAAGCUAAAUAUUGAGGAGAGACCGAUAGCGAACAAGUACCGUGAGGGAAAGAUGAAAAGAACUUUGGAAAGAGAGUUAAACAGUACGUGAAAUUGCUGAAAGGGAAACGCUUGAAGUCAGUCGCGCUGUUCAGGACCCAGCCUUGCUUUGCUUGGUGUACUUCCUGUUCGGUGGGUCAGCAUCAAUUUUGGUCGGUGGAUAAAGGCUUAGAGAAUGUGGCAUCUUCGGGUGUGUUAUAGCUCUGGGUCGCAUACAUCGGCUGGGAUUGAGGAACUCAGCACGCCGCAAGGCCGGGGACUUGUCCCACGUACGUGCUUAGGAUGCUGGCAUAAUGGCUUUAAUCGACC